rnacentral:rRNA from 1 species
GUGGGGAAUAUUGCGCAAUGGGCGAAAGCCUGACGCAGCGACGCCGCGUGGGUGAUGAAGGUCUUCGGAUCGUAAAGCCCUGUGGGGAGGGAAGAAAGGUUCGCAGGGUAAUAUCCUGCGGAUUUGACGGUACCUCCUUAGCAAGCACCGGCUAACUCCGUGCCAGCAGCCGCGGUAAGACGGAGGGUGCAAACGUUGUUCGGAAUCACUGGGCGUAAAGCGCGUGUAGGCGGCUUGGCAAGUCGGGUGUGAAAUCCCUUGGCUCAACUGAGGAAGUGCAUUCGAAACUGCUUGGCUCGAGUACGGGAGAGGGAGGUGGAAUUCCCGGUGUAGAGGUGAAAUUCGUAGAUAUCGGGAGGAAUACCUGUGGCGAAGGCGGCCUCCUGGACCGAUACUGACGCUGAAACGCGAAAGCGUGGGGAGCAAACAGGAUUAGAUACCCCGGUAGUCC